UGCAGUCUGCACCUGCUGUCUGUGAUGAUUCUCCAGUUAUUAGUUUGAGUUUAACUACCAUGAGGAUACUUAACAUGCACUACCAUCUGAGACAUGAUGAGCUAUACAAGGAGCAUUCCUUUAUGAAUUACAAGUGUGUAGUAAAUGCUUACAUCUCCGUUCCCAGACAGUAAAGUUCCAGCCUUUCCUCCGCAAGAGGAUGUAACCAAUCUCGUGGACCGUACCAUUUCUGCUGCCCCUGAUUGGCUGAAGGGGUUGGAUGGUACCUCUCGACAGGAAGACAUUUCUUCGGCUGCCCUCAAGAUUGUACUCCUUCUGCGACCGCUUGGCCAAUACUGGGUAUCCUGUUAGUUUGGGGGCGUCAAGACCUGGCAACUUGUACCACUGAAGGACGGAGCGUCAAGACCUGGCAACUUGUACCACUGAAGUAAAGUCCAGCCCUUCCGCAAGAGGAUGAAAACCGAUCCUGCGACAAAUUCCGUUCCCCCUGAAUGGCUGAAGGGGUUGGAUUGUACCAUCUGACAGGAAGAGUUGGUCAUUCCAGUCCCUUAAGACCGUGGGAAGUCCCCUGGCACAGGCGUCCAGACCGGAACUACUGGAGGUGUUGACCUCACCCUAUGACCAGGAAGCUCAUAGGAAGUCUAGAGAAAACAUUUGCCUGACAAGCUCCAUGUUUCCCUCGGGAGAAUUGGAUCAAAUAACUUGAUGUCUGCCAAAUAAAAAUUGAUUUGAAAGCUA